AAGAGAGUCCUCCUAGCGGCUGUGGAUGGUAACGGUCGACUGUAAGACAUUCCCGACAGUGCGGGCUCUAAACAGCGUGUUUUCCUCCAGAUGACGACUCCUAACUGCUCCUCCAUGUGCCGAAGGUGAAGACGUCAGGCCUGCAGGUGCAGCUUUAUUCGCCUCUUCUCCUUAAUUUACUGCGGAGGUUACGAGCGGGCAGCCCCGGGCUGCCGUUUCCACACCAGGAAUGCUUUGAAGUAGCAGAGCCGGACGGCCGGACAAGAGGAUCCGAGUGGAGCCGGGGCGCCCAGUACCAGUAUGGUUGCGGAUGAAUCGGCAGCGUCAACCUCCCGGAUCCAGUGCAGUAGAGGAGCCUGGUGAUGUUCCCGGCCAAACUUCAGCCCAACAACCCGAAGACAAUCUGUUAGUGAGUGGACAGCUCUUUGGGGGAGAGCAGAGAGGCCCAGUCUCUUAUCAACAGAAACAGAAACUGGAAUAUCAGUUUGGUCUGUUAUGUACU